GACACUGUAAACACAUUCUCUGAGACUCUUCCUGUGUGCCUGUGUGUCUGUCUCUCUGUGCAUCUCUGUCUCUGUCUCUGUCUCUGUCUCUGUCUCUGACUCCCUCUCUCUGUCAGGAAUAUUGCAGCAUGACUGGGAAGCCUGUCCUUCAUUACUUCAAUUGAAGAAGAAGAAUGGAGUCCAUCCGGUGGCUCCUGGCAGCAGCUGGAGUAGAGUUUGAGGAAGAACUUUUUGAAACCCAUGAAGAGUUUGAGAAGUUAAUCCAAGGUGGAACCCUGAUGUACGAGCAAGUGCCCAUGGUGGAAAUCGAUGGAAUGACUUUGGUGCAGACCAGUGCCAUCUUAAGAUAUGUAGCUGCAAAAUAUGACUUGUAUGGAAGGAACCUGGAGGAACAAGCCUGAGAAGGAGAUGAACCUUGAAUACAUCCUCCACCGAGCUACAACAAGAUUCUUCCCCGUUUAUGAGAAGGCCCUGAGAGACCACGGGCAAGACUUUCUUGUGGGCAAUCGGCUGAGCUUGGCUGAUGUCCAGCUCCUUGAAGUCAUCUUAAUGGCUGAAGAAUGCAAAGCCAGUGUUCUCUCGGGUUUCCCUCUGCUACAGGACUUCAAGGUGAGAACCAGCCAAAUUCCUACAAUUAACAGCUUCCUCCAACCUGGAAGCCAGAGGAAGCCUCCUUUGGAGGAGCGAUCCAUUGGGACUGCAAAGGACAUAUUCAAAUUUGAAUGAGGACUGUUUCUUAAAAACAUGAGCAAUAUAGUAGCUGAGUAUUAACAGCUACAGAGGCUGGAGUUACUCAGUAAGUAUACUGAGUAACUUGACACUGCAUUCAUAAAAAGACACUCACUAAGUAUAUGGCCAGAGAAAUAUCCUGAAGUUAGUAAUAAAUGUUAGGAAUCUUAGUAUGUUAGCAAUGUUAGAAUGUUAGUAAUGGAAAUAUUAAAUGUGUAAGAGAAAAACUACUAGAAGCUUAUCAAUAAACUACAAGAACCAACUCUUGUUUGAAGUAAGACAGGCUACCAAGACAGAAUUCAGAAAAUCCAAGGAGCCCUCGGCCUUCUGUAUGAUCCUAGAAUAAACUUGUAUGUAGCAAGUGAAA
rnacentral:lncRNA from 1 species